GGACUACAACAAUGAUGGGGUGCGAGUUGUGGAUCGGACGAGGACGGUGUGUCGGCGUUGUUCGACAGUGGUGCGGUAUGCUAAUGCUGCUGAGUAAAUCCCUCUCUGUUGCUGCUGUGUCUCCAGAGGAGCAGCGGGAUGGUUUCCCUCCGGCUCGCUGGCUCUCAGUCAGCCAAACAGAGAAGUCAUUUCCUGAGGGGCUGAGAUAAACCUCCGACCUGCCACUCUGUUUUGUUCCCGCUCACCACAAAGCCUCAUCGUUUGUCUUCCUCUCUAUUUACUCCGGACACGUUGCAUCCCAUCUGUCUCUACCUGUUUAUGUUCACUUUAGACCAGAGGUGUCAAACAUACUUCCACAAGGUUACUUUGCAAAAUGACAGAGAAGACAUUUACUGCAAUUUUCACAACUUGUAUGUAGUUUGUAUUUAUACAUUUUAGAAAUACAAGAAAUGGAGAUUAUUGAACCUUCUUCAUCAAUAGUUCCCCCUUUAGUGUGUGAGCUGGUGAGUCUGGAUUACUACACAGAUGUUGAAAUUAAUGUGAAAUAAUUUCUAGAUCUUGACAAGUAGUUGGAUCAGCGUUUGUCUUUCUCUCUAUUUAAUCCAGACACGUUGCAUCCCAUCUGUCUCUGUUUAUGUUGCCCAUUUAAAGUCCAUGCAUCACAAAAUACCACAUAAGCUAGAGUGAGAAUAAUCAAUAUAUCUACUGUUAUGUGUUUUAUUGGGGGAAUUUGUCUGGCCAUAUAAUAUGUUCUGAAAGCCAAUGUGACAUUUAUCUGUUAUGCUGGGACACAAAAAUCCCCUUCUGGUCACAAAACAGUUUUAUCUGAUCUUAAAGGAAGAUAUGAAAUGAUGAAUCAACCUCUGAUUGAUUGACCACUCACUUCUUUCAUUCACAAGACAUAAUGUGAUCAUAAACAGAGCCUUGCUUUAAUCAUGCUGUCAAUCCCAAAUAAACAAACUAAAUUAUCGUAUCAUCUUGUUAAUAAAUGCUGUUAAUUUGA